GGGUCUACUUGUUCGCCUUUCAUCACGGACUACUUGGGCCCCUUGUACCCGUGGGCGCCGUCAGCAGUGUUCGGGGCGGCGUCGGUGCUCGCGGGACUGGCCACGCUCGCCCUGCCGGAGACGCUGCACGUGCCUCUCCCGGACACCAUCGCACACCUGGAGGAGCGGGAGAUCAGGACCAGCGGGUUCCUGCGACUCCCUGUCCGCGAUCC